UCCGAUCUUGCAAAAGGCAAAAUGUCAAUGUUCGUGACAGCAAGGCCACGUGCGAGAACCAAAUCAAAGGUAUUUCCACUAUUGUGCGUCGAGUCCUGUAUGCACUGCUGGAAUCCUAAUGCAUCCACAAAUUCCAUAAAUGAUUUGCAAAUGAGAGGGCUUAUUUAUAUGAAUGUUAAAGUCACCAAUAAUCAAAAUGUUGUCCACAC